rnacentral:misc_RNA from 1 species
AUGAUUUUUAAAGCAAACCAAGCUUUUUUAAAAGUAAGGUUUUGCGAAAUGUAUUUAAAACCCCACUCUUUUAAACAAAUUUUUCAUUCAUAUAUAUGAGUAUGAAUAAUGA